rnacentral:lncRNA from 1 species
UCCCUAAUAGUACAUGCAUUCUAAAUUGCAAUCAUUUAUUGCAUCUAGCCUGGGGCUUUCUGUCUGUUAGAAAUAUCAGGGUUAUUUCCUUCUUUUAAGAGUUUAUGUUAAAAAAAAAACUUUACAAAUAAUGUUUGCUGUUUAAUGUUCUCCCCUGAAAUAUCAAUCUGCAAAAAAUAGAAAUCCUUUUUUACAAUUCAUUGCAAGGAUAUAGUUCCAGUUUCUUAUAAUGUAAUGAAUGUAUGGCAGAUAAUGGUCCAAUAGUGCAAACGAAAGGCGCAUAUAAUCAAAAUGAUAAUGGAGCGUAUUGUACUGCUUGUAUAAUACAAUCCAUACCAAUAUGGAAAUCAUAUCUCAAGGCAACAUUCCUCUCUUUGAUUUUUGUAAUAAUUGUACAUGUAAGAGCAGAGCAGCGAGAAGUGGGGGGACAAAGGCCUUUAUUGCUUCAUUAGGCAGCUGGCGUUCUGAUGGUCCGGCCUGUCGACAGUCGUUCCUUAAUUUCCAAGGGAAGCUUCUCCUCUUUCUGCAGACAUGAUUUACUGUUCACGUCAGCUCCCUUUUCAGCCCUUUCUCUGUGAAGACUCACAAUUAGAUAAAAUGAGCUUUGAGGGCCCUUUUGAUCAGCACCUUCUGCCUGCUUGGCCAGUGAUCUGGGUUUGGGUCAGACUGGAGCCAGGCUGCCGGAAGCUUGGGUGGGAAGGAAGAGAAGGCCUUGGUAGAGGCCUUUGAGAGCCUCGGGCUGCACAGCCUCCUUGGCCGGCUAGGCAAGGGGCAUGUGAGGGAGUGGAAGAGCAACAGGCACAGGCCCUACCUGCACCGCCUUGCAUUCUAGAAAGGUCAGCGCACACUCAAGGUGGGAAAUGUCCACUCUGAAGUCGGGCCUCAAGUGGAUCUUGGCUUAUGUACCAACUAGAGUAUGACCUUGGCCUUGACCUCUCUCAGCAGCAGCAACCAGAGAUGUUGGCCAAGGUUGUAAAGUUGGGUGGCAGUGGUGAGGGGAGAGCCCAACUUCCUAAAGAGGUCAGUGUUUUCUCCCAGGUUCUGGGAAUGGAAAGAUGCUGGCAGAAAGCAAAUCCCACACCAGAGGAGUAGAUUGACAAGUAACCUGGAAGUUAUUUUUUGGACUUUUUGGAUCAGAGCAAACUUGGAUCUUGCUCCUAAAUGCUGUGUACCCAGCUACUUCUCCUGGCCCAGUGGGUCCUGGGGCCAUGCCUUCUGGGAGUCUGGAUGGGGCGGGGUGAGGUGCGGUAGCCCUGGCCCAGGGCGCCCCAUCAUUGUAAGGUGGAAGGGAAACUGCGGAUGGUGGUCUGUAAGGGUCAGGGGUCAGGCGCUGAGCAAAGGCGGGGCAGGAAUCCGGCGGCCCAGAACUGGAGGUGAGCCCUGGCAGGCCCAAGGGAGCCUUCGGCUUUUCUUGGGCGCCGGAGUCCGCAGCACAGGCUGGCUGAGGGCUGGUAAGGGAGCCGUGCUGAUGGGGCAGAGUCCUGGGCACAGUCCUUUGUGGGCUUUGUCUUGGAGGCACUGCCACUUCUUGACGCUGGCCUGGGGACGCUGCCAGAGAGACCAUGCUGUGUGACCCUCACUGCUGCUGAGGCCAGAGAGGGAGGUGAUGUCCUGGGCUACCCCGGGAAAUGGGGCAGAGAGGAAACUCAGCGGAAGCCAGGUCUCCAUUUUAAGUUCUUUGGCGAGAAAGCAUAACGUGCUGAUGCCUCCCAGGUGUGUCUGCAGAGCAAACCCUGGGGGCAGCCCCAGCUCUCAGGAGGAUGGCCCCGGGGGGCGGUGGGGGGUCCCACCUCCUCUUCUUGUCUCCACACCAACAUCCACUCCAAUCCACACAUACCCUGUAGGCUCCUGUGGUUAAACUCACGUCCCUGAGGCCCAGACUCCCUGAGCUUAAAUUGCAGUUCCACCAUGUUCGACCUUUGUGGGCUUGGCCAAGGCCCUGGCCCUCUCGAAGCCACAGUGUUCUCUUGUGUACGACGGGGAAUAACUGCAGCGAGGAAGUGGGAAGAGGACUGAGUGAGUUCAGCAGGGAGUGAACACCUGGCCGUAUGCACGCUAAGGCCGUAGCCAUCCGUCACCAGGGUUGUCAUGUCAGGGAAACAUGGAAAGGAAGGGAGGUGAAAAGAGACAAUAGGAAAACCGUAGGCUGUGACGGGAAAAAAUGAAACAGAUGAGUGAGAAGAAAAGUCCAAGAGCCAGGAUGACGGCGCAGUGAUGGCUCACUUUGCGUUGCUGUUCCGUCCACUGUUCCACUGACUGUGAACUCUGUCAGAGUAGGGAGAUUUUUUUGAAACUCAUAAACUUUCAAGAACAUGAGAGGAGAACAGCAGCACAGUCUGGGAGUCUGAGCAACAGAUGGACGAGUGGUAACUGCUUUAGCAGAUUUGGGAAGGCUGAAUCCCCAGCUGGUGGUUGAGAAAAUGGAAAAUCAACUCCAUGUACGCAGCUGAAUCCUCAAAACACGCAGG